UACGGAGGGUGCGAGCGUUGUCCGGAAUCAUUGGGCGUAAAGGGCGCGCAGGUGGCGGGACAAGCGUGCGGUGAAAGCUCGGGGCUCAACCCCGCGUCGGCCGUGCGAACUGUUUUGCUUGAGCACUGUAGAGGCAGGCGGAAUUCCGGGUGUAGCGGUGGAAUGCGUAGAGAUCCGGAAGAACACCGGUGGCGAAGGCGGCCUGCUGGGCAGUAGCUGACACUGAGGCGCGACAGCGUGGGGAGCAAACAGG
rnacentral:rRNA from 1 species